GGGGAAUAUUGGACAAAGGGCGAAAGCCUGAUCCAGCCAUGCCGCGUGUGUGAAGAAGGUCUUCGGAUUGUAAAGCACUUUAAGUUGGGAGGAAGGGCAGUAAGUUAAUACCUUGCUGUUUUGACGUUACCAACAGAAGAAGCACCGGCUAACUACGUGCCAGCAGCCGCGGUAAUACGUAGGGUGCGAGCGUUAAUCGGAAUUACUGGGCGUAAAGCGUGCGCAGGCGGUUUCGUAAGACAGACGUGAAAUCCCCGGGCUCAACCUGGGAACGGCGUUUGUGACUGCGAGGCUAGAGUACGGCAGAGGGGGGUAGAAUUCCACGUGUAGCAGUGAAAUGCGUAGAGAUGUGGAGGAAUACCGAUGGCGAAGGCAGCCCCCUGGGUUAGUAUUGACGCUCAUGCACGAAAGCGUGGGGAGCAAACA
rnacentral:rRNA from 1 species